GGAGAGUGAUGGGUGCCUGGUGGCCCUCGCGGUCUUCAAAACCGUUGUCUGCAAGUGCUCCUUGCAGGGCUUGGUUCGAUUCCUUGCCUCUCCG
rnacentral:tRNA from 1 species